rnacentral:rRNA from 1 species
GAUGAACGCUGGCGGCGUGCCUAAUACAUGCAAGUCGAGCGAACGGACGAGAAGCUUGCUUCUCUGAUGUUUGCGGCGGACGGGUGAGUCACACGUGUAUAACCUACCUAUAAGACUGGUAUAACUUCGGGAAACCGGCGCUAAUACCGGAUAAUCUUUUGAACCGCAUGGUUCAAAAGUGAAAGACGGUCUUGCUGGCACUUAUAGAUGGAUCCGCGCUGCAUUAGCUAGUUGGUAAGGUAACGGCUUACCAAGGCUACGAUGCAUAGCCGACCUGAGAGGGUGAUCGGCCACACUGGAACUGAGACACGGUCCAGACUCCUACGGGAGGCAGCAGUAGGGAAUCUUCCGCAAUGGGCGAAAGCCUGACGGAGCAACGCCGCGUGAGGGAUGAAGGUCUUCGGAUCGUAAAUCUCUGUUAUUAGGGAAGAACAUAUGUGUAAGUAACUGUGCACAUCUUGACGGUACCUAAUCAGAAAGGCACGGCUAACUACGUG